AUGUCUCCGCCGCCGGCGUCGCCCGCGCUCUCCGCGCAGAAGCUCACCACCAACGACGCCCUCGCCUACCUCAAGGCCGUCAAGGACAAGUUCCACGACAACCGCGCCAAGUACGACGAGUUCCUCGAGGUCAUGCGCGACUUCAAGAGCGCCAGGAUCGACACGGCGGGCGUCAUCAUCCGGGUGAAGACGCUCUUCAGCGGCUACCCGGAGCUCAUCCUCGGCUUCAACGCCUUCCUGCCCAAGGGCUUCGCCAUCAAGCUGCAGGACAUCGACGGCGGCGCCGCCGGCGACAAGAAGCAGCCCGUCGACUUCAUGGAGGCCAUCAACUUCGUCAACAAGAUCAAGGCCAGGUUCCAGGCCCAGGACCACGUCUACAAGGCCUUCCUCGCCAUCCUCAACAUGUACCGCAUGCACAACAAGUCCAUCCAGGACGUAUACCAGGAGGUUGCUAUGCUGUUCCAUGACCACGCCGACCUGCUCGAGGAGUUCAAGCAUUUCUUGCCUGAUACGUCCAACGCUCCGCAAGUGCUGGCCGCUCCUAAAGCCGUUUCCGCCAAACAGGAGGCCCCCGCACCGCCUUCUGCCAGUGCCAGGAAUGUGCAGAGCAUCAAGAGAGAGAGGCCUCAGCCGUCAACUGCUGAGCGCGACAGCAGUGUUGAUCGCCCUGAUCUCGAGCAUGACCCCGACAGGAAGCGUGUCGACAAGGAAAAGGAUCAUAAGAUCGACCGGGACAGAAAAGAUCAUGACAAGGAUGCUGAGUACGAAAGCAAAGAUUUGGAUGGGGGACUGCGCAAGCGCAAAGCUUUAUCAAAGAAGCUGGAGGGUGACACACACCAAGGGGCGGCAAGCAUCUCUGCUUCGUCGUACAAUGAUAAUGAUGCAAUGAAAAGUGCGUACACACAAGAGUUCCUUUUCUGUGAGAAAGUCAAGGAGAAGCUAGAGCCUGAAGCUUACCAGGAGUUCUUGAAAUGCCUUCACAUAUACAGCCAGGAAAUAAUUACAAGAAGUGAAUUGAAAAAUCUGGUACAUGACAUACUUCAGCGCUACCCAGAGCUUAUGACUGGAUUUAGCGAGUUCUUGGAACACUGUGAAAACAUAGAUGGUUUUCUGGAUGGAGUCAUCAAUAAAAGGCAAACAUCACGAACAGUCAAGGCACUGGACAAAGAGAGAGAUAAAGGGCGUGCAGGGGAGGACAGGGAAAGAGAUGCUGAAAAACUGAGCGAAAAGGAACGAGAAAGGCUUGACAAAGUGUCUGCGCUCAAUUCUAAGGAAGCCACUACCCACAAAGCUGCUGCGUUCUCUGCCAAAGAGAAGUACCUAUGCAAGCCAAUAUCAGAGCUUGACCUCUCAAACUGUCAGCGGUGCACUCCCAGUUACCGGCUUCUGCCUAAAAAUUACCCUGUGCCUGCUUCAAGUUGCAGAACUGACCUUGGAAUCUCUGUGCUCAAUGAUCACUGGGUAUCAGUUACCUCAGGAAGCGAAGAUUAUUCAUUUAAACACAUGCGGAAGAAUCAGUAUGAAGAAAGCUUGUUUAGAUGCGAAGAUGACAGGUUUGAGUUGGACAUGCUGCUGGAAUCAGUUAAUGUGGCGAUUAAGCGUGUUGAGGAGUUGAUAGAAAAAAUGCAAGAAAAUUCAAUCAAACCAGACAGCCCUAUACGCAUCGAUGAACAUUUGACCUCUCUGAAUUUGAGGUGCAUAGAACGGCUAUAUGGUGACCAUGGCCUUGAUGUCAUGGAUGUUCUUCGUAAAAAUGCGAGUGUGGCAUUACCAGUUAUCUUAACUAGGCUUAAGCAAAAGCAGGAGGAAUGGUCAAGGUGCCGGUCAGAUUUUAACAAGGUUUGGGCUGAAAUAUAUGCCAAGAAUUAUCACAAGUCCCUUGACCAUCGCAGUUUCUAUUUCAAACAACAAGAUACGAAGAAUCUGAGCACAAGAGCUCUAUUGUCUGAGAUCAAAGAAAUUAAUGAGAAGAAAAGGAAAGAGGAUGAUGUGCUUCUUGCUAUUGCUGCUGGGAAUAGGCGGCCAAUAGUUCCCAAUAUGUCAUUUGAGUAUGUAGAUUCAGAAAUCCAUGAAGAUGUUUAUCAGAUCAUCAAGUACUCUUGUGGAGAAGUCUGCAGCUCUCCAGAUCAAGUUGACAAAGUGAUGAGAACCUGGACAACAUUUGUGGAACCUAUUCUGGGAGUUCAACCCCGAACACUUGCCGUUGAAGAUGCAGUCACUGUUAAGCAAGCUAAUGGAGAUGAAAGCAUUCCGAAGGAAAAAGCACAAUCUUCUCGUGGUUUAUUGGCGAAUGGAGUUUCAGAAGAUGCUCAAAAUGGUUUCCAUGAUGCUGAUCGAACUGUCCGCAGAGGCGAGGGGCCAUCUAACACUUCAUUACAUCAGACUGAACAGAAUCAGCGGAGAACAAAUAUGGAGCUUACGUCAGGUACUAAUUCUUCCAGAGGUAAUUUCUCCGGAAGUGAGGCUGUUGUUGAAGCUAUGGGUGGCAAUGAAACAAUUCCAUCUAUAGGGAGAGGAGAAGCUGGGAGGCCAGGAUCUGUGCCUCAGAAGAAUUCAAAGGUUGAAAGAGAAGAGGGAGAAUUAUCUCCUAAUGGGGAUUUUGAAGAGGAGAAUUUUGGGCCUCUAGGAAAUGCAGCUGGAGACGGAGCUUCAAAGCCGAAGGAAGUUUCUGCUGGUAGAGCUAGAGCAGCUGAGUUUGCUGGAGAGAAUGAUGCUGAUGCGGACGAUGAAGGUGACGAAAGUGCCCAGAGAUCUACAGAAAGUGAAAAUGCGUCUGGUAGUGAAUCUGGUGACGGCGAGGAGUGUUCUCGGGAAGAUAACGAGGACGAAGAGGAUGCUGAUCCUGAUGCUAAGGUUGAAAGUGAGGGUGAGGCAGAGGGAAACACAGAGGCACAUGAUGCCGACGGAGGGAUGUCACUACCGUUUUCAGAGCGUUUGCAUAAUACAGUUAGACCGCUCGCCAAGCAUGUCCCCACAGCUUUGCAGGAUCAUGGCGGGAAGUUUUCACGCAUAUUUUAUGGAAAUGAUUCAUUUUAUGUUCUGUUCAGGCUACACCAGAUCUUAUACGAGAGACUACUAUCAGCCAAGACAAACUCUUCCACGGCUGAAAAGAAGUGGAGAACUUCCAAGGAUACGAGCUCCCCACACCAAUACUCAAAGUUUAUGGGUGCACUUUAUAACUUGAUUGAUGGCUCUUCUGACAACACCAAAUUCGAGGACGACUGCCGUUCAAUCAUCGGGACUCAGUCCUAUGUUCUUUUUACAUUAGAUAAGCUGAUAUACAAAGUUGUGAAGCAGCUUCAAGCAAUAGCAGCUGAUGAAAUGGAUAACAAGCUGCUCCAGCUUUAUAUAUAUGAGAAGUCCAGGUCUCCUGGAAGGUUCUUUGAUCUGGUUUACCAUGAAAAUGCUCGGGUUCUUCUCCAUGACGAGAGCAUAUAUCGAUUUGAACGGCGCUCAAAUCCUACGAGAUUAUCUGUUCAGCUCAUGGAGUAUGGGCAUGAAAAGCCUGAAGUAACCGCAGUCUCAAUUGAUCCAAACUUUUCGUCAUAUCUUUAUGACGAGUACCUGUCGAGUAUUUCGGAUUCAAAGGUGUCUGAAGAUGUGUUCCUUGAGAGGAAUAAGCGGAAACGCGGGAGCAGCAAUGGCCCUCAAGCUUCGUUGGCGGUCAUGGAUGGUUUCAAGGUCGCGAAUGGCCUUGAAUGCAAGAUAACCUGCAAAUCCUCAAAGGUUUCGUAUGUCCUUGAUACAGAAGACUUUUUAUUCCGUAUGAGGAACAGGAGGAGAAUCUCGUCUGGUGCAACACCCGCCGCCGCACCUGGCAAGGCCGAUUUUGUCAAGGCAGCUGAUGUCGUGAAAGCGCAACGGUUUCAUAAAUUUCUUCUUUCUAGGUCCUAG
rnacentral:rRNA from 1 species